rnacentral:rRNA from 1 species
AACACUCCGAAGAGCCACUUUCCGGCACCACUUCUCUCGCAGCAAGAACCGAUGCUGGCCCAGAGAGCGCCCAGAGCGCCGCCUACAAGAGACAGCGGUGCGCACUCCCCAUGUCGGGCCCAAUACCCUUCCCUUUCAACAAUUUCACGUGCUGUUUCACUCUCUUUUCAAAGUGCUUUUCAUCUUUCCUUCACAGUACUUGUUCGCUAUCGGUCUCUCGCCAAUAUUUAGCCUUAGAUGGAAUUUACCACCCGCUUAGAGCUGCAUUCCCAAACAACUCGACUCGUCAGCAGGGCCUCAAAGCUUCGCGCAGCACCCCACGGGGCUCUCACCCUCUCAGGCACCCUGUUCCAAGGGACUUGGACACCGCGCUCCACAGAGACUCCCGCCUACACUCUACAACUCGUGCCGAAACACGAUUUCAAAUCUGAGCUCUUGCCGCUUCACUCGCCGCUACUGAGG